rnacentral:rRNA from 1 species
GCCUACGGGGGGCAGCAGUGGGGAAUAUUGCACAAUGGGGGAAACCCUGAUGCAGCGACGCCGCGUGAGUGAAGAAGUAUCUCGGUACGUAAAGCUCUAUCAGCAGGGAAGAAAAAAAGUCUUUGGCUUUGGACGGUACCUGACUAAGAAGCCCCGGCUAACUACGUGCCAGCAGCCGCGGUAAUACGUAGGGGGCAAGCGUUAUCCGGAUUUACUGGGUGUAAAGGGAGCGUAGACGGCUGAGCAAGCCUGAAGUGAAAGGCGGGGGCCCAACCCCCGGACUGCUUUGGGAACUGCACGGCUGG